UACGUGAGCCCCGAGCGUUAUCCGGAAUUAUUGGGCGUAAAGAGCUCGUAGGCGGUUUGUCGCGUCUGCUGUGAAAACCCGAGGCUCAACCUCGGGCCUGCAGUGGGUACGGGCAGACUAGAGUGCGGUAGGGGAGAUUGGAAUUCCUGGUGUAGCGGUGGAAUGCGCAGAUAUCAGGAGGAACACCAAUGGCGAAGGCAGAUCUCUGGGCCGUAACUGACGCUGAGGAGCGAAAGCAUGGGGAGCGAACAGG
rnacentral:rRNA from 1 species